rnacentral:rRNA from 1 species
AGAGUUUGAUCCUGGCUCAGAUUGAACGCUGGCGGCAGGCUUAACACAUGCAAGUCGAGCGGAGAUGAGGUGCUUGCACCUUAUCUUAGCGGCGGACGGGUGAGUAAUGCUUAGGAAUCUGCCUAUUAGUGGGGGACAACAUUCCGAAAGGAAUGCUAAUACCGCAUACGUCCUACGGGAGAAAGCAGGGGAUCUUCGGACCUUGCGCUAAUAGAUGAGCCUAAGUCGGAUUAGCUAGUUGGUGGGGUAAAGGCCUACCAAGGCGACGAUCUGUAGCGGGUCUGAGAGGAUGAUCCGCCACACUGGGACUGAGACACGGCCCAGACUCCUACGGGAGGCAGCAGUGGGGAAUAUUGGACAAUGGGGGGAACCCUGAUCCAGCCAUGCCGCGUGUGUGAAGAAGGCCUUAUGGUUGUAAAGCACUUUAAGCGAGGAGGAGGCUACUGAGACUAAUACUCUUGGAUAGUGGACGUUACUCGCAGAAUAAGCACCGGCUAACUCUGUGCCAGCAGCCGCGGUAAUACAGAGGGUGCGAGCGUUAAUCGGAUUUACUGGGCGUAAAGCGUGCGUAGGCGGCUUUUUAAGUCGGAUGUGAAAUCCCCGAGCUUAACUUGGGAAUUGCAUUCGAUACUGGGAAGCUAGAGUAUGGGAGAGGAUGGUAGAAUUCCAGGUGUAGCGGUGAAAUGCGUAGAGAUCUGGAGGAAUACCGAUGGCGAAGGCA